rnacentral:lncRNA from 1 species
CGGAGGCGAACCAAAAUACACCGCGCCCCUGCCGGGGCGGGGCCGGCCACCACCAGCCAAUUCGUGCCCGGCCGGCCAAUGAGCGCCGCGGGGGGCCGCGUGAUCGGAGCCUGGCCGCGGCGUGAUCGGGCAGGGCGGGACGCGGCACGUGUUUUGGUCGGAGCGAGGGGCGGGGCCUGAGGCCCUGGAAAACAGCAUUCCUUCUGCGUGGAACAUGCCAACCCUCGUCUGCUUUGACUUUGCAAAACUGCAUGAGACCGCCGGGCGCGGUGGCUCACGCCUGUAAUCCCAGCACUUCAAGAGGCCGAGGCAGACAGAUCACCUGAGGUCAGGAGUUUGAGGCCAGCCUGGCCAGCAUGGUGAAACCCCGUCUCUACUAAAAAUACAAAAAAUCAGCCAGUAAUCCUAGCUACUCGGGAGGCUGAGGCAGGAGAAUCGCUUGAACCCAGGAAGCAGAGGUUGCAGUGAGCCGAGGUCAUGCCAUUGCACUCCAGCCUGGGCUACAAGAGUGAAACUCCGUCUCAAAAAAGAAAAAAAAAAAGAAAAAAAGACUGCAUAUGACUCCCCAGUGAAGCCCUCCCUGAUUGGCCUCUGCAGAAGGCAGCAUGCCCGGGCUUUGGAGUCAGACCUGCAUACAAAUCCUUGUUUUGCCGGUGUGACCUUGCCAAGUCUUCUUUCCUGCAGGACAGAAGGCGGCAGCAGCUCUCCCUGAACUGGCACUCUGGCUUCUCUUGCCCCAGGGUCUGUUUCUGCUCCUUGGACAGCAGGCGCAUGUGGGAACUGUGCCCUCUUCAGCCAUGAGCCCCUGUUCUGCGCACAUCUAGCCCAUCUUCCAGAUGGACAGACAGUCUGUGGUCGUCGCCAAACCCCUGAAUCUGGCCCUGCCCGCAGUCAGAGGGAUGGCAAUUUGUAAGCUACAGACUAUUGCGAAUCAUUCACUUGGAGACUGAACUAAGACUACUGGCACCAGGCUCCGUAGACCCUCGGGAAGAGCAUGGUCUGGCAGGCAGACUGGAUGUGGCCACAGAUAACAUCCCCUAAGGGGAGAGCGUGAGCCUGCAGGCCAGAAUGCCACCACUUUCUCCUGUGUCGUUCCAGAGAGAGCCUGUGGCUAUGCACGCUUGCUGCUACAGAGGGUAGUGCUGUAUACCUCCUGGGCUCACUUACUGACUUUUCAGUCUAAGGGCUUAUUGCAAUUGGUACAUAACGAUCAUACUUUGUAAUGGUUAAGUAAUAUUCCAUCAUAUGGAUGUGUUGUUUAUUUAACAUUCUGGUUGAAUAACCAAGACUUUUAGGUUUCCAGUUUUCCAGGAACAUCAUGCCCCUCCAUCAUUUGCCCACCUGGAAGGAUAACUACAGGAUAAGCAGCUCUUAGAACUGGAAUUGCUGAGUUAACUGCUCUGUGCAUUUCCUUGCUUUUUCUUGCUUUUCUUUUCUUUCUUUUAUUAUUUUUUUGGGUAAAUUUUUAUUGAACUAUAGCAUAGCGUAGAUACAGGAAAGUGUAAAAACUUAAAUGUACAAUUCAAUGAAUUUUCGCUAGGCAAACACUGUGUCACCAGCACCCAGAUUUAGAAACAGAAUAUUACCAGAAUCCCAAAAGCCCCAUGAGCUGCCGUCCAGUCACUACUUACCGUUUCCCUGAUCCCCUGCAUAGGAUAAUCCUUAUCAUGGCUUCUGACACUUUCGGUUGGUUUUGGAUGUACUGACACUUUUUGUGUGUGUGUGACACUUUUAUAAUACAAA